rnacentral:rRNA from 1 species
CUACGGGCGGCAGCAGUGGGGAAUAUUGCACAAUGGGCGCAAGCCUGAUGCAGCCAUGCCGCGUGUAUGAAGAAGGCCUUCGGGUUGUAAAGUACUUUCAGCGGGGAGGAAGGGAGUAAAGUUAAUACCUUUGCUCAUUGACGUUACUCGCAGAAGAAGCACCGGCUAACUCCGUGCCAGCAGCCGCGGUAAUACGGAGGGUGCAAGCGUUAAUCGGAAUUACUGGGCGUAAAGCGCACGCAGGCGGUUUGUUAAGUCAGAUGUGAAAUCCCCGGGCUCAACCUGGGAACUGCAUCUGAUACUGGCAAGCUUGAGUCUCGUAGAGGGGGGUAGAAUUCCAGGUGUAGCGGUGAAAUGCGUAGAGAUCUGGAGGAAUACCGGUGGCGAAGGCGGCCCCCUGGACGAAGACUGACGCUCAGGUGCGAAAGCGUGGGGAGCAAACAGGAUUAGAUACCCGGGUAGUC